rnacentral:rRNA from 1 species
AGCGAACGUUAGCGGCGGGCCUAACACAUGCAAGUCGAGCGAGAAAGGGGCUUCGGCCCUGAGUAAAGCGGCGGACGGGUGAGUAACACGUAGGUAAUCUUCCUUCGAGCGGGGGACAACGGUCCGAAAGGACCGCUAACACCGCGUACGUUCACGAGGACCCUGGUCCUUGGGAGGAAAGCUUGGUCGCAAGAUCCGGCACUCUGAGAGGAGCCUGCGUCGCAUCAGCUAGUUGGUGGGGUAAUGGCCUACCAAGGCGAAAGACGCGUAGCUGGUCUGAGAGGAUGAUCAGCCACACUGGGACUGAGACGCGGCCCGGACUCCUACGGGAGGCAGCAGUGGGGAAUAUUGGACAAUGGGCGCAAGCCUGAUCCAGCCACGCCGCGUGAGUGAUGAAGGCCUUCGGGUCGUAAAGCUCUGUGGGGAGGGACGAACCGCUGCACGUGCAUAGCGUGCAGCAUGACGGUACCUCCUUAGCAAGCACCGGCUAACUUCGUGCCAGCCGCCGCCGUAA